rnacentral:rRNA from 1 species
UACGUAGGGUGCAAGCGUUGUCCGGAAUUAUUGGGCGUAAAGAGCUCGUAGGCGGUUUGUCGCGUCUGCUGUGAAAUCUGGGGGCUCAACCCCCAGCCUGCAGUGGGUACGGGCAGACUAGAGUGCGGUAGGGGAGAUUGGAAUUCCUGGUGUAGCGGUGAAAUGCGCAGAUAUCAAGAGGAACACCGGUGGCGAAGGCGGGUCUCUGGGCCGAUACUGACGCUGAGGAGCGAAAGCGUGGGGAGCGAACAGG